rnacentral:rRNA from 1 species
AGUCGAGCGGUAGCACAAGAGAGCUUGCUCUCUGGGUGACGAGCGGCGGACGGGUGAGUAAUGUCUGGGAAACUGCCUGAUGGAGGGGGAUAACUACUGGAAACGGUAGCUAAUACCGCAUAACGUCUUCGGACCAAAGUGGGGGACCUUCGGGCCUCACGCCAUCAGAUGUGCCCAGAUGGGAUUAGCUAGUAGGUGGGGUAAUGGCUCACCUAGGCGACGAUCCCUAGCUGGUCUGAGAGGAUGACCAGCCACACUGGAACUGAGACACGGUCCAGACUCCUACGGGAGGCAGCAGUGGGGAAUAUUGCACAAUGGGCGCAAGCCUGAUGCAGUCAUGCCGCGUGUGUGAAGAAGGCCUUCGGGUUGUAAAGCACUUUCAGCGAGGAGGAAGGGUAGUGUGUUAAUAGCACAUUGCAUUGACGUUACUCGCAGAAGAAGCACCGGCUAACUCCGUGCCAGCAGCCGCGGUAAUACGGAGGGUGCAAGCGUUAAUCGGAAUUACUGGGCGUAAAGCGCACGCAGGCGGUUUGUUAAGUCAGAUGUGAAAUCCCCGCGCUUAACGUGGGAACUGCAUUUGAAACUGGCAAGCUAGAGUCUUGUAGAGGGGGGUAGAAUUCCAGGUGUAGCGGUGAAAUGCGUAGAGAUCUGGAGGAAUACCGGUGGCGAAGGCGGCCCCCUGGACAAAGACUGACGCUCAGGUGCGAAAGUGUGGGGAGCAAACAGGAUUAGAUACCCUGGUAGUCCACGCUGUAAACGAUGUCGACUUGGAGGUUGUGCCCUUGAGGCGUGGCUUCCGGAGCUAACGCGUUAAGUCGACCGCCUGGGGAGUACGGCCGCAAGGUUAAAACUCAAAUGAAUUGACGGGGGCCCGCACAAGCGGUGGAGCAUGUGGUUUAAUUCGAUGCAACGCGAAGAACCUUACCUACUCUUGACAUCCACAGAAUUCGGCAGAGAUGCCUUAGUGCCUUCGGGAACUGUGAGACAGGUGCUGCAUGGCUGUCGUCAGCUCGUGUUGUGAAAUGUUGGGUUAAGUCCCGCAACGAGCGCAACCCUUAUCCUUUGUUGCCAGCACGUAAUGGUGGGAACUCAAAGGAGACUGCCGGUGAUAAACCGGAGGAAGGUGGGGAUGACGUCAAGUCAUCAUGGCCCUUACGAGUAGGGCUAC